rnacentral:tRNA from 4 species
GGCCUGAUAGCUCAGUUGGUAGAGCAAAGGACUGAAAAUCCUUGUGUCGCUGGUUCGACUCCUGCUCAGGCCA